rnacentral:rRNA from 1 species
UACGGAGGGUGCAAGCGUUAUCCGGAUUCACUGGGUUUAAAGGGUGCGUAGACGGGCAGGUAAGUCCGUGGUGAAAUCUCUGAGCUUAACUCAGAAACUGCCAUGGAUACUAUUUGUCUUGAAUGUUGUGGAGGUAAGCGGAAUAUGUCAUGUAGCGGUGAAAUGCUUAGAUAUGGCAUAGAACACCAAUUGCGAAGGCAGCUUACUACACAAAUAUUGACGCUGAGGCACGAAAGCGUGGGGAUCAAACAGG